UCGAGCGGUAAGGCCUUUCGGGGUACACGAGCGGCGAACGGGUGAGUAACACGUGGGUGAUCUGCCCUGCACUCUGGGAUAAGCUUGGGAAACUGGGUCUAAUACCGGAUAUGACCGCAUGCCGCAUGUGUUGUGGUGGAAAGAUUUAUCGGUGCAGGAUGGGCCCGCGGCCUAUCAGCUUGUUGGUGGGGUAAUGGCCUACCAAGGCGACGACGGGUAGCCGACCUGAGAGGGUGACCGGCCACACUGGGACUGAGACACGGCCCAGACUCCUACGGGAGGCAGCAGUGGGGAAUAUUGCACAAUGGGCGGAAGCCUGAUGCAGCGACGCCGCGUGAGGGAUGAAGGCCUUCGGGUUGUAAACCUCUUUCAGCAGGGACGAAGCGUGAGUGACGGUACCUGCAGAAGAAGCACCGGCUAACUACGUGCCAGCAGCCGCGGUAAUACGUAGGGUGCGAGCGUUGUCCGGAAUUACUGGGCGUAAAGAGUUCGUAGGCGGUUUGUCGCGUCGUUUGUGAAAACCCGGGGCUCAACUUCGGGCUUGCAGGCGAUACGGGCAGACUUGAGUGUUUCAGGGGAGACUGGAAUUCCUGGUGUAGCGGUGAAAUGCGCAGAUAUCAGGAGGAACACCGGUGGCGAAGGCGGGUCUCUGGGAAACAACUGACGCUGAGGAACGAAAGCGUGGGUAGCAAACAGGAUUAGAUACCCUGGUAGUCCACGCCGUAAACGGUGGGCGCUAGGUGUGG
rnacentral:rRNA from 1 species